rnacentral:rRNA from 1 species
UAAGGUUUCCUGAGGAAGGCUCGUCCGCUCAGGGCUAGUCGGGACCUAAGCCGAGGCCGAAAGGCGUAGGCGAUGGAUAACAGGUUGAUAUUCCUGUACCACCUCCUCACCAUUUGAGCAAUGGGGGGACGCAGGAGGAUAGGGUAAGCGCGGUAUUGGAUAUCCGCGUCCAAGCAGUUAGGCUGGGAAAUAGGCAAAUCCGUUUCCCGUGAAGGCUGAGCUGUGAUGGCGAGCGAAUUAUAGUAGCGAAGUUCCUGAUUCCACACUGCCAAGAAAAGCCUCUAGCGAGGUGAGAGGUGCCCGUACCGCAAACCGACACAGGUAGGCGAGGAGAGAAUCCUAAGGUGAUCGAGAGAACUCUCGUUAAGGAACUCGGCAAAAUGACCCCGUAACUUCGGGAGAAGGGGUGCUCUGUUAGGGUACAAGCCCGAGAGAGCCGCAGUGAAUAGGCCC